AUGGCGAUCUUCCAAGAUUUCUUCUUGGGGGUAAUAGAUGCCUCUCGCCUUAACUAUGGCGUGGUGACGUUGAUUCCCAAAGUGGUGGGGGUGACGGACAUUCGUCAGUUUAGGCCUAUCACGGUUUUAAAUGUGAUUUCCAUCUUGGCCAAGGUGCAUGCCAUUAGGGCGGCACCAGUGGUGGCGAGGGUAACCCAUCCCAAUCAAACGACAUUUAUUCAGGGUCGGCGGAUUCACGAUGGGGUCCUAGCACUACACGAGAUCAUUCAUGAAGUUAAGAUUAGACGCCACAAGGUGGUCUUCUUCAAGAUUGAUUUCCAUAAGGCCUACGAUAUGCUUAGUUGGGAUUUCCUUCGAGAAGCCCUUCACCGCAAAGGUUUUGAUGAUAGAUGGAUUACGAGGGUGAUGCAGUUAGUUUGCUAUGGGCGCACAACGAUCAACAUAAAAGGGGGAAAGUGGAACCUUCUUUUAAGUCCUCAAGGGGGGUGA
rnacentral:rRNA from 1 species